ensembl:misc_RNA Metazoa_SRP Metazoan signal recognition particle RNA
GCUGGGUGUGGUGGCGUGCACCUGUAAUCCCAGCUACUUGGGAGGCUCAGGUAGGAGAAUCGCUUGAACCCAGGAGGCAGAGGUUGCAGUGAGCCGAGAUCGCGCCACUGCAGUCCAGCCUGGGUGACAGAGCAAGACUCUAUCUCUC